rnacentral:rRNA from 1 species
UACGGAGGGGGCUAGCGUUGUUCGGAAUUACUGGGCGUAAAGCGCACGUAGGCGGCUUUGUAAGUUAGAGGUGAAAGCCCGGAGCUCAACUCCGGAAUUGCCUUUAAGACUGCAUCGCUUGAAUCAUGGAGAGGUGAGUGGAAUUCCGAGUGUAGAGGUGAAAUUCGUAGAUAUUCGGAAGAACACCAGUGGCGAAGGCGACUCACUGGACAUGUAUUGACGCUGAGGUGCGAAAGCGUGGGAAGCAAACAGG